UACGGGGGGGGCAAGCGUUGUUCGGAAUUACUGGGCGUAAAGGGCUCGUAGGCGGCCAACUAAGUCAGACGUGAAAUCCCUCGGCUUAACCGGGGAACUGCAUCUGAUACUGGAUGGCUUGAGUUCGGGAGAGGGAUGCGGAAUUCCAGGUGUAGCGGUGAAAUGCGUAGAUAUCAGGAGGAACACCAGUGGCGAAGGCGGCUCACUGGUCCGGUACUGACGCUGAGGUGCGAAAGCGUGGGGAGCAAACAGG
rnacentral:rRNA from 1 species